GAUGAACGCUAGCUACAGGCUUAACACAUGCAAGUCGAGGGGCAGCACAAGGCAGCAAUGCUGAGGUGGCGACCGGCGCACGGGUGCGUAACGCGUAUCCAACCUUCCCGUUACUCUUGGAUAGCCUUCCGAAAGGGAGAUUAAUACAAGAUGGUGUUGAAAUUCCGCAUGUUAUUUCAACUAAAGAUUUAUCGGUAACGGAUGGGGAUGCGUGACAUUAGAUAGAUGGCGGGGUAACGGCCCACCAUGUCCACGAUGUCUAGGGGUUCUGAGAGGAAGGUCCCCCACACUGGAACUGAGACACGGUCCAGACUCCUACGGGAGGCAGCAGUGAGGAAUAUUGGUCAAUGGCCGGAAGGCUGAACCAGCCAAGUAGCGUGAAGGAUGAAGGUUCUAUGGAUUGUAAACUUCUUUUAUACGGGAAUAAAACCUCCCACGUGUGGGAGCUUGUAUGUACCGUAUGAAUAAGCAUCGGCUAACUCCGUGCCAGCAGCCGCCGCGUAAUAC
rnacentral:rRNA from 1 species